GCUGGCCUUGAACACUUCCAGGGAUGUUGGCUGUGCACAGAGAGACUUUCAGUUUGAAACUUCAACAAAGUGCGAAAACGAGCUAAAUUUGUUGAAGCUUUGCUGCAGAGGAGCCCUCAGCUCUGGGCGGAAGCUCUUCAUGAAGCGCUUCACCAGCACAAACCCAGACAGCAGGUGUAUGUGCUUGGCACAUUUCAGUAACUUUAUUCAUUUCAAACCACCUUAAAAUAACCAGAUCCCUUUUUUGUCUCCUGGUGCUGCAGUCGAGUCGCUGAGGGAGCCCAGAGAUCUGCUGUGAGGAGGUGGAUAUUGGGGGGGCAGAAGGAAGCAUUUCCCUGAUCCCUUACCUGGAUCAGACUACCCUGGGUGUGUCACUGAAAUUCAGAGGGACACCUUGGCCUCAGCUUCACACUGGGGGAAGGAGGUUUGUGACAUGGUUCAAACACUGGCUGUGACUUGCAAACCCUCCCAGUGAUCCAUGGAAGGUUUCAGCCACUCCUCAGUCCUUUGUGGGUGUGAGGACAGAGAGGCCCCAUGCAGAUGCAGAGCUCAGCCUCAGGGGUUUCAUGCUGGAGGUGGUAUCUGGGGAUGUGGCAGAGCCAGGGGCUGCAGACAGUGGCCAGGACAUCCCUUGGAGCUGGCUGUGUGGCUGUGCCAGGGAAGACAGAGCAGGAGCUGCUCUCAUGGCAGGGGAUGCGGGUGAAAAGCUCCAGGGACUCGAGGCUGAAAGGGUGGAGAUCCCCCACACCGUGUCUGGCACCUUCUUCCUUCCAGCGCCAUCAACAGACACGACUUCCCCAAAUUGAGUUGAGCAGCCUUUUGGAGAAGGGGGUUGUGAUUGGUGAGACGGAGCCAGCGCUGUGCUUAAAGCCUCGGGGCAGAGGAGGAAGUGUCAGGCACACGGAGAGCCCCGCGAGCCCCGACCAUGCGGUCCCUGCAGCGCGUCCGCCCGCUCCUCCUGCUCGCCCUGUUCGCCCUCUGCAUGUCCCUCUGCCAGGCGCAGGGUGAGAAGCAGCCUGCAAAAGAUCUUCCGCCCGCCAACGUAACGACCAACUCCAACCUGAGCCCCCCCUGCGGGAGCCCCUCGCUCUUCUCCCUCGCCCUGGGGGUGGCCGCAGCUUUCCUCCUGCAUCUGCGCUGACCGGGAGGGGGUCACCGUGCACCUCCCCGGAUCCCCCAAGAGGACCCCCAAGGAUGGCAUCCCCCGCACCGGCAGCACCGCGGCAUCGCUCCCAUCCAUCCCUGCCGCCCUCCGCUACCCUCGUCCCGGAAUGAGACCCCCCCCGGCCCGGGAGCGGAGCAAUAAACGCGCUGGUGUCGA